AUAGCUGCUUUGCCUCUGCUCGUGCUGAGUAGCACACCUGCCGUGAGUGACUGACCAACUUGGCCAGGCACAGAGGGCAGGAGGGGAGGGGCCUCGGGGUGCAGGGGGUGACAGGUGAGUUGGGGCAUUUUCCACAGUGCAUGCAUGCUGCAUUUUAUCUGAUGCUCACAGCUACCCUCAGAGAGAACCUGAGGCCCAGAGGAGUUGAGGGACUCCCAUUCAGUUCACCUGUGCUGGGCUUAGGUCCUUGGUGUCCAGGCUGCAGCCAUGGCUGGACCACUUGCUUGCCCUCCAAGGCUUUGGGAGGCUAUAGGGGGUGGCGGGAGGCCUGUGGGCCCAGCAGUCACCUGACCUGGGCUCAAAUCUCAGCCGGGCCAGGGACCAACAGUGUGACCUUGGGUCCUCCUUCGAUGGGAGGUUAAUCAUGCCCACCUCGCCAGGCUGUUGGGAGGCUCAGUGAGAGGCGGCGGAGGCCAUCUCCACCCCUGGAACUCUCAAGGGAGUUCUUGUGACUUUCACAAGUAACUGCUAAGUUGCUGUUGCUGAAUCAAAUUCCUGGAGAGCCAGGAAGUAUGUCUGUGGGUGGGAGAGACGUCUGGCACUUCCAGGGGGGCCCCAAGGCUUCCUUCCCACAUGCCUGCCUCCCCCAGCGCCUGGCAGCCCUUGAGAGGGAAGGUAACAGAGGGGCCCAGAGGGUCUGGAACUUACCAUGCCCCUGCUUCCUGCCCACUGUACCUGUCUGCACCCCUGGUUUCCCUGUCUGCAGUUCUGAGUUCAGUAAACGUGGUUUUACUUUCUUUAUAGCACCUGUCGCCACCCAAACUUCUCUGGAUUAUUGAUUGUAUUGUCACUAUUGUCUGCUUCCUCAUCCCCUCCUAGAGUGGCAGUCAUGGAGCAGGGACUUUGUUCACUGCUUUGUGUUGUUGACUGCUGUAGCUCCUGCACCUAGAGCAGUGCCUGGCACACAGCAGGAGUUCAGUCAGUAUUUGCGGCAGGAAGGAAGGAAGGGACAGAGGGAGGGAGAGAGGGUGGAAAUUGUGGGUCCUCUGUGGUCAGCCCUUUGCUGCAAUUGGGGAUGUUGCCUUAGGUUAGAGCCCAACCCUGCUGACAGAGGCUUCCCCUCCAGUGCCAGAGGCAGACACAGACACAGACAGUGACUGUGGGUGUGACCAGCACUGCGACAGAGGGAAGGAGGCACUCUGGCUGGGGAAGCCAGGGCAGAUGGCAUCUGAUCUGCUUCAAGGAUGCUCAAAGGCUCCUGACUGUGGAGAGCUAAAGCUGCCAGGAGCUGCCUGUGCUUGCCAAGUGGUUGCAGAUGUUUCCUCCCUACUGCUCUGACUUUGCCAGGUGAGCACAUUCUCCUGUCUGAGCUGGUAUCUCUGUCUCUCUCUGUUUCUGUCCCUCUCCUGAGAGAGUCUAGCCUUGGGGUCCAGGCCUGGCCUGGCCAGGGUGGCCGUGGGAUCUUGGAGCAGCCACCACUCCCCUUUCUGAGCCCAGGUUCCUCCUCAGAUGCACAGUGGGUGGGUCGUUAGCGCCUGGAAGGCCUCUCCUCCAGGACCUGGUGUUUUCACAGACGAAACAGACUUCAGAGCUAAUGCGUGCUUUGGUAUCUUCCAGCCAGGAGACACUGCUCAAUGGCCCCAGGAGGGGCCCAGGAAGGAUUCAUUCCAGCCUUGCUGGGGGUGGGAUCAGGUUUCUGGUCCUACUCUAGCCAGGUGGCCAUGGGGGAACCCUGAAGCCAGACACAUAGAUUCUGGUCUCUCACACACUCUCUUGGUGACCUCAGCAAGUUUCUACCUCUCCCCAGACCUCAGUCUUCCCUUUUAUAAAAUGGUUAUAAUAGCACCAGUCCCCUCUCUGCAGAGACAGGAGCCCUGCUCCUCGUCCCGGAUCUGGCAUUGGCUCACCUUAGGCAAGUCUGUUCCCUUUUUGGGCCUGUCUCCCCAUGUAUAUGUUGAGGGGUUGGACUUCAGGGCCUGUGAGAGGCCUUCCAACUUAGACUUUCUCCCCAGGAGCAUAAAUUCAGUGAAUCUACGUGACUCUCAGUGAUGGCAUCAUUGCCUAAUAUCCACCCAGCUUCUGCUUGAAAACUUCCAGAGAACUCCCCACAUCUCCACGGCUUCCUUCUACCUUCAGGUAGCAGGAAGUUCUCCCUCACACUGUACCUUUCUUCCUACAUCACCCAACCGCUGGGGUCAGUUCUGCCGCCACAGAACUCCAAACAAUUCAAUAGACCUUAGGUACUGGGCACCCUGGCCAGGCCUCAUGCCAGACUCCAGGAUCAUGGAGGAACCAGUGUUGUCCAGCAAGGACUGGACAGGCAUAAAGUCCUGUAGCUCUGUCUGACUCCAGACUCAAUAAUAAUCCCAGCUGCCACCGAUAGCCCCUUCUGGGUGCCCAGCCCUGCUGCCUCAUCAAAUACCAGCAAUAUCUACCUCACUGAAUCCCCACAACAACCCUGCCAGAUAGUAACUCUCAUCCCCAUGUUAUAGCUGAGAAAACUGAGGCCCACAGCAAUUAGAUAUCUUCCCAAAGGUCACACAGUUGGUAUGCGUGGAGCCUGAUUAAAACCAAUGUGGCUACUAGCCUCUCACUGGGCUCUGCUGCCUCUUGUUUGUCUCUCUGUUCCUGGCGUGCCCAGGUUUGGGGGCAGCCUCCUUCCACAGCCUCCUCAGAGCCAGCCCCUGGCUGCUUGUGCAUUUCCUAAGGCGAGGAAGCCCGGGCAGGAGGGUCCCAGGGAGGAUGGAGAGGAGACGGUGGGCCUGAACCCAGGGCUCAUGACCUGUGCCCUCUGGAGGGAUUCCAGGUAUCACCAGCAGCCUGGGGAGGUACACCCUUGUGUGGGGAGGAGGAACUCUUCCCAGCACCCUCAAAUUAUCCCUUAAAAUUAGCCUUGGCUGCAGUUAGGCUGGCAGUGGGCGAGGCCCUGGUCUGGGAGCCCAGAGUCUAAGCUGUAGUUUCAGUUGACCCCCUGAUGGUCAGUGUGACCUUGACCUUGGAUGGGGCCCUUCCCUUUUGGGACUUCAGAUUCCCUAUUUGCAGACGUGAAGAGGGGACAAGAUCUCCCAGCAACAUGCAGUGGCUGGAGCUGAAUCAAACCCUGUGUUGGUCGGAUCUAGAAGGGCGAAUGUGGUCAGAAUGUUCUCCCUCACCCCUCCCAGGUCUCUUGGCUGCCCUGGCUGGGCCCACCCCACAUCUUCGCAGUGGCAUGUCCUUUCAUUUAGGAAAGGAGUUUCCUUAGACAGGCAGACAGUGAUGGGGUGGGAGGCUUGGAAAGGGAUGAGAUCAGUGUGGCCCAGCUCCCUGCUGGAGUGGUGAACAGAGAGUGUCCUUGGGUCACACAGAUCAUUAACCAGCUGUGUGACCUUGAGCAGAGCUCUUAACCUGCUUGAACUUCGGUUUCUGUAUCUGUAAAACAGUGAUAAUAAUAGUACCUACUUUUGAAGGUUAUUAAUAGUGAGGAUAAAAUAAGGAUUAAAGGGAAGUGUGUCUAAAACACUUGGCGCAGAGCCUGGUAUGUAGUCAGCACUCAGAAAGUGUGGCCUUGAUGACAACAAUGAUGAUGGUGAAGAUGGGAAUGAGUGGGGAAAGGAUGGCGACAACCGUUGCGUUGAACAGUAUGAGACGCUGCUCAGCCUUCUCCGACAUACUGGGUACUUCCAUGCUUCCAGGCUUCACACUUGCCAUUUCUUCUCCCUUGCCAUCCCCCAAGACUUCUUCCAGCACAAAUGCAUCCUAAGUAAUGGAGUAACCAGGCCCUGUGGAUCUGAGCCUGGAGGAGCCCGGGGGCAGAUUAGAACCCAAUGGCUGUGCUCUGCAUGAGGUGGGAGCACCAGACUUGGAGGAAUUAAUAGAAGGUUUCCCAGGGGAGGCAGAGCUUAGCUGGAGUCUUGAUGAAGGAGUAGGAAUUGGCUGGAAGAAGAGAAUAGGAUUUCUUUUUUUCCAUUUAAAGCAGUCCAGGCAGAUGAAAUAACACGUGCAAAAGCAUAGAGGUGUGAAAUAGCAUGUUGAGCUUGGGAAACUGCAAGAAGCACAAUAUGGUGCGAGUGGGGAGAGGGAGAGAGGAAGACGGAAUGGGGAGGAUGUUUGGGGUGGAUCACGAAGAGCCUGUGUGCUACACCAGAUACUCAAAAUGUGCCUUGAAGGUGAUGGGGAGUUAUUCUUUUCAUCAUGCGACAAACAUUCCUGAGGACCUACUUGACCCAAGACAUCUUUGUAGCGGGCACUGCGAUGUGCUGCCAAUGCCUGUGCCUCCUACCCCCACACCUCCGCUGCUGAGAGUGCUGAUGGCAGGCAGCUUGCAGGUGAGACUCCUCCCACCACCGUCAUUGCCUCCUCACCUAAUGCCAUGGUCCCUCCAGGGCCAGCCUGCAUCCAGAGACUGGUUCACAUGGGGGUAUAAAAGCCCAGGCCCCUUGCCCCAACUUGGGACAACUAUGAAGAGUUUCCAGCUCCACAGCUCCCUGAGGGGCUGGCCGAGGCCUUUGUGGGGUUUGCCUCACAACCCAAUUUAUCCCUCUGGCCAAUUCUGCUUCAAUCACUCCCUGCCAGGUGUUGACCUUGAAUGUACUCCCCCAAUAAACCUCCUGCAAGCAAA